rnacentral:rRNA from 1 species
CCUACGGGCGGCAGCAGUGAGGAAUAUUGGUCAAUGGACGAGCGUCUGAUCCAGCCAUGUAGCGUGAAGGAUGACUGCCCUCUGGGUUGUAAACUUCUUUUAUAAAGGAAUAAAACGAGGCACGUGUGCCUUUUUGCAUGUACUUUAUGAAUAAGGAUCGGCUAACUCCGUGCCAGCCGCCGCGGUAAUACGGAGGACCCGAGCGUUAUCCGGAUUUAUUGGGUUUAAAGGGAGCGUAGAUGGGUUGUUAAGUUAGUUGUGAAAUGUUGCGGCGCAACCGUAAAAUUGCAAGUGAUACUGGCAGUCUUGAGUACAGUAGAGGUAGGUGGAAUUCGUGGUGUAGCGGUGAAAUGCUUAGAUAUCACGAAGAACCCCGAUUGCGAAGGCAGCUUACUAAACUGUGACUGACAUUGAUGCUCGAAAGUGUGGGUAUCAAACAGGAUUAGAUACCCUUGUAGUC